rnacentral:SRP_RNA from 1 species
GCUGGGCGUGGUGGCUCACGCUUGUAAUCCCAGCACUUUGGGAGGCUGAGGUGGGCGGAUCACCUGAGGUCAGGAGUUUGAGACCAGCCUGACCAACAUGGAGAAACCCCAUCUCUA